CAGCAACUUAAUCAGAAAUAGCAAAGGGACUGAUGCACCCUGAUCUGUGACUGAUCGACCAUGGGAGCUUACAGGGAAUCAGGUGAAGAUUGUAAAUCUCAAGGUCAUCCAACUCCUUGACAGAUUGGAGCAGGGCUCUUCUGCAGAUGAUUUAUCUCCUUCCACCAUCCUACAACAAGACAUCAACCCUUCUCAAGUCCUCAGGAUUCGGUGAAGCGCAGACUCGGUGGAGAAAUGUAAACAUUUUGUUUCUGCACGUGUCACAGCAGCAGUCACUUCAGAGCCUAAAGACUUGAUUAUUUUAUUUUAUUUUUUUAGCAUGGAGCGUUUUUUUACUCCCUUCUCUUCAUCCAUGUCAUCCCGCUAUGUCACCUUGAGGUGCUAUCCUGAAGUGUCACCCCGAGUUGUCACCUCGACGUGUCGCCCACAUAACCAGAUCAUUUGCUACUCAUCAUUUUGCUCUCCACCACUCAGUCCUCCUUCUGCUGCUGAGUUUCCUCCAUCUGUCAACUCCUGAUCGUCCUCUCUCUGUCCACAAAACCCUGUCAGAGCCUCUUGCCUCUAGUGCUAAAAUGUUGAAAAAUUAAAUAAGGAUUUAUGA